AAAUCUUUGUUUUUUUUUCAGAAAUAUUUGGUGUCAAAUCAUGAAAGCUCAAUAUAAAUAAUUAAACACAAGAAUAAAAUUAUACUUUAGAUAGGUCUCAAGUAUAAUAAAAAAAAUCCAUAUAGCUGAUCUGAAAUAAUUAUUCAGUAUUAUUAUUAUUAUUAUUAUAAGUCCAUUAUUUAUUAUUUUUAAUAUUAAAAAUAGCAAGGUAGCUCAACAAUAAUUCUCAAGUUACCCAUAAUAAGGUCCUCAUAUGUCUACAUGGAAACAAAAAAAGGAACCUUAAAAGGGAAGGGAGUCGAUGCAUUCAUUACAAGAUAAGAUUCAUAUAUUCCUAAAAAAGGAUAAGUGCACGCUGAGUUCCAACACGAAGGCUUUCGUGGGUGUCACCCGUUGCACGACCAAUUGCGACCACAAAGAGCAUGGCUUCGGUGCGGCGAUGAGAGCGAUCGCUUGGCUUUCAGCUUCGUCUCCGAUGUCAGCACACCGGGGCGUUCUCUGUGCCGGAACAAGGGAACGGCGAGCUUGUACGUGGCGGACGCCCGUGUAGUCUUGUGGCCUCCGUGGGCCGAACCUCUCGGCUUGGCCGUCAUCGUCGCGGCUGCCGCGGGUGGAGAGCUCAGGUUGAGGCCGGACAGGAGGAGGAGGAGGAGGGCCAGAACGAUGAAAACCUUGGCCAUCCUUGUUGCGGGGAGAGACGGUGGCUUCGACAAGGGUUGCAUGGGUAGAUGGCGUUUUAAUGUCGCGUCUUUGAGGCCAUGACCUCUCUUCCUUUGAGGUAGCGACCUCUUGACAUGGCCAAGCCACUAAAUAUUUAGCGGUCCUCCAGUUUGGUAGAUUGUUCCGUUCCCUUCGAUGCUCAAGUUAGUAUUAAUAUUAAAAUUAAAAUUUAUUAUAAUUUUUUUAAGUAAUAUUUCUGUAUUUUUCAUGAGAGAAUAUUCAACAUUAAAAAAAAUUAUUUAUUUUACCAUAAAUCUAUUUAGGUUUCAAUUCUUUAUACGAACUAAAACUGAUUUCAAUUCGAUUUCGAUAAUGUGUUAGAUGGGAAGCUCAUGCACUG
rnacentral:lncRNA from 1 species